rnacentral:sRNA from 1 species
CCGAGCUGUAUGAGGCAGAAACUCGUCUCACGUACGGUUCGGAGGCCGAGCCCCACCCAGCAGUAAUGGUGCGGCUUAGGUCAAC